rnacentral:lncRNA from 1 species
UAUAUAUAUAUAUAUAUAUAUAUAUAUAUAUAUAUAUAUAUAUAUAUAUAUAUAUAUAUAUAAGGCUGAUUUCUCUAGGAACAAUGGUUCAGUAUUUGCAGCACCUUUAUAACUAUGAAUGAGAAUUUACUGCACUGUGGCCUCAUUCUGAAGUUGCUGGUGAGAUUCUUCCCACUGCUUUCUACAGAUGGGAAAACCCAUGUCAACUCAACUUCAGCCAUGCAGGUGGUGAUAAUGUCCCAGGAUGGCAGAUCAACAGGAUGAAAAAUGUGGAUCCCUGAAUGACUUCAUGGAACAGGGCUAGCUGCUGACUGGAAGUCUCCACAGAUUGUAAUCACAGAAUGUUAUACCUCUUCUCUUUAAGCCUCUUUAUUGUUGUUGGUGGCCGCUCCAGUGGCCUUAUAUAACCACUGUCUGCACUGAGUGUGAAAGACAUUUUCCUAAAGGAAAAACAAUUUUGAAUUGGAUACUCAUAUGCUUAUUUCUAGAUUUAUUAACAAAUCCGUAACUUGCUUACAGACACGAGGAAAAGAAUGCUUAGUUCACUGGCUCAGAUUCGCUGUAUUUGAUUUUUUUAGCUUAUUUUUAAUGUAACCGCUUAGUCCUACUUCUAGAGAUUCUGAAUUGUUCGGCAGAGCUGGAGCUCCAAAAGAAAAGGAGCCAGCCACAUGAAGACCUAGCAAAGAAGAACAUUCCAUGCAGAGAGAACAGGACUGCAAAAUCCUUGAGGGAUGAAUGGAUUUGGUAAGUUUGAGGAACAGAAGGGAAGGCAGUAAUGUGGCAGCUCAUUAGGUAAGAGAGAGUGACGUAAGAUGAGAACAGAGGGGCAGGCAGGAUACACAUCACAUAUUAUGAUUUUGUGAGCCAGCACAAGGAGUCUGAAUUUCAAAGUCCAUCGGGAUGUCUUCUGAGAUUUUAAAAUAAGGAAGGGAAGCAUUUGAGUUUUGCUUUUAAAAUAUGACUCUAGGGACAUCUGACUGGGUCCCCUACAGUGUGUGACUCUUGAUCUCAGGGUCAUGAAUUCAAGCCCUAUGUUGGUCAAAGAGCCUACUUAACGAAAAGUAAAAGAGGACUCUGUUUCCUGUGUGGAGAAUGGUUCCCAGGUUGAUAAGAGAUUAGUGUCUAGACUUGAGGUGAUGCUGGUUUGAACUGAUGUGAUAAUGGUAGAAGAGAGGUGGGCAGAUUAGGGAUAUAUUUUGAAGGUGGGAUCAGAGAAUUUAAUGAUAGAUGACUGACUAUGUCAGGGGAGAGAAGGAAAGACAUU